UGUUUUUGAUCUUUGAUUGUGUUUUUCUUGCUUUUAUAAUUUGUUCUAGUGCCACUCUUAAGUUCCUUUUGCAUCCUUGCUGUUAUUCCAAGCUUAAAUCAUUUGCAUUCCACUUGUUUGACCUCUAAAGUAUGAUCAAAACCAAUUUUGUAUACAUAUAACCUUGGUGCAGUGGCUGUUUCACGUCAUUUUUGCUUGCUGUUUCAGCUGCUUGUGGUGCUAUUGUGGUGCAAUUUAACCCACCAGAUUGCUCCUCCAACGGGGUAGCCUCUAAAGGAGUGGAAGGCUUGCUAACAAGGCAACAAUUGUGGACUUUGGGAGUAGCUUUUUACUGUUGUUCCAGCUAUACUUGCAGUAGUAAAACCGUGCCAUUAUCAAGCAUAUUCAGCAG
rnacentral:lncRNA from 1 species